rnacentral:lncRNA from 1 species
UCCACCAUUGAAAGUGUAAACCUCUGGGGGAUUAAGACCUCCAAUCAAGAAAAAAAGACGAAAAACGAACGUGAAGUUUUUCAACCGGCUUACAUUAUCCUCCAGCACAGAGUCGUGCGUAUCUGGCUCAUGGUUUCCGGUGGGUGGAAACAACGCCACGUUUUGUUUAAACUUUGCUCGUUAGUUAGAAACUCAUCCAAAUUGCUGUCGAGAUCGUAGCAGGAACCCACACGGCCAGUUACGUUGCGCAACGUUUGACACCAGAAAUUGGCAUUGGAUGAUAGCUCCCCAAGAAUUCUCUUCAAAUUACUGACUUGAGAUAUCAUUUGGCCCUCGUAUUCACGGCAAAUCUGUUUGUCUACGUAAUAGCCUCAAAGUUCGCAAAAAGUCAUUAAAACCAUAUGAGGUCUUGGGAGCCAAUAAGCCGAGGCUUAGCAGCAACGAGACAUUCCAUCUUUCGUGAUUUGAUGAAUGCUGCUGCAUGGCUGGAUCGUGCAUCAUUUUCCAUUCGCAUGGUUUAUGUUUAUUGUCACCUCAUCUAGAAUCAACUUUCUGCUGGACUGUUCUGCUUCUUUUCUCGCCAUAAGAAAUAGAGCGAAAAUACUGGAAAACAUCAGCCCGAUAAACAGCGUGUAACGUCUUCCCCUCAUUUUCCAGUCCAAAAGCGUUCCAGUCCUUAUUUACGGAUGAGACGACAAUAGAAGAGAAAUAUCAGUAGUUGAACUGAAACAGCUCUUAUGCACUAUCUUCAAGUGGGUUUGUAAGAAUAUGCUUUUUUAAAAUUUUUUUCUCUGUCUUGUUUCAGGGUAAAACUAAACGUUAGAAAAAUCAGUGAACUCAUAGACAUAAUUAGAAAUGAUGUGUUAGGAAGCACGGCGGACGCUGCUAUUUCAAAAGAAUUAAUGUAUUCUCCAUCACGGAGCCUUCCAUUGCAUAAGUGGCCCGGUGUACGUACGUACGCGGAAUGUGGAGACUCACGGAUCUGUUUUCCAGCCGCAUAGCAAACACGUCAGCUUGAUAUGAACAAAAGUAUAAAUAUUUGGAGCAAACCACUUGACUUUUUGUCUGACAUUAUUCGUCAGCAAAAGAAGGCGAAUAGCAAGAUUAAUUUCUUUCGCCAUUUUAACUUUUACAAAUUGCAGUUAUCUUCUAAUGCACUUAACAUCCAUAAUUAUCUAACUGUUGGUUAAAUUAGUCUCAAGCCAAAAACUCAUCCAUUGGAAGAAUUACGGGGUUGAAACAAAAAUAGUAAAAGAACUGAAUUUCCGAGGCAAAAUAUAAAAUAAAUCAUAA